AGAGUUUGAUCCUGGCUCAGAUUGAACGCUGGCGGCAUGCCUUACACAUGCAAGUCGAACGGCAGCACGGGAGCAAUCCUGGUGGCGAGUGGCGAACGGGUGAGUAAUAUAUCGGAACGUGCCCAGUCGUGGGGGAUAACGUAGCGAAAGCUACGCUAAUACCGCAUACGAUCUACGGAUGAAAGCGGGGGAUCGCAAGACCUCGCGCGAUUGGAGCGGCCGAUAUCAGAUUAGCUAGUUGGUGGGGUAAAAGCCCACCAAGGCGACGAUCUGUAGCUGGUCUGAGAGGACGACCAGCCACACUGGAACUGAGACACGGUCCAGACUCCUACGGGAGGCAGCAGUGGGGAAUUUUGGACAAUGGGCGAAAGCCUGAUCCAGCAAUGCCGCGUGCAGGACGAAGGCCUUCGGGUUGUAAACUGCUUUUGUACGGAACGAAACGGCCUCUUCUAAUACGGGGGGCUAAUGACGGUACCGUAAGAAUAAGCACCGGCUAACUACGUGCCAGCAGCCGCGGUAAUACGUAGGGUGCAAGCGUUAAUCGGAAUUACUGGGCGUAAAGCGUGCGCAGGCGGUUAUAUAAGACAGAUGUGAAAUCCCCGGGCUCAACCUGGGACCUGCAUUUGUGACUGUAUAGCUAGAGUACGGUAGAGGGGGAUGGAAUUCCGCGUGUAGCAGUGAAAUGCGUAGAUAUGCGGAGGAACACCGAUGGCGAAGGCAAUCCCCUGGACCUGUACUGACGCUCAUGCACGAAAGCGUGGGGAGCAAACAGGAUUAGAUACCCUGGUAG
rnacentral:rRNA from 1 species